rnacentral:rRNA from 1 species
UACGAGGGGGGCGAGCGUUGUUCGGAAUUAUUGGGCGUAAAGGGCGCGUAGGCGGUGCGGUAAGUCACCUGUGAAACCUCUAGGCUUAACCUAGAGCCUGCAGGCGAAACUGCCGUGCUGGAGUGUGGGAGAGGUGCGUGGAAUUCCCGGUGUAGCGGUGAAAUGCGUAGAGAUCGGCAGGAACACCCAGGGGGAAACCAGCCGACUGGGGAUGUGCUGACGCUGAGGUGCGAGAGCGUGGGGAGCGAACCGG